rnacentral:rRNA from 1 species
CACGUAGGGGCCAAGCGUUGUCCGGAUUUAUUGGGCGUAAAGAGCGUGUAGGCGGCCAAGCAGGUCAGCUGUGAAAACUCGAGGCUCAACCUCGAGACGUCGGUUGAAACCGCUUGGCUAGAGUCCGGAAGAGGAGAGUGGAAUUCCCGGUGUAGCGGUGAAAUGCGCAGAUAUCGGGAAGAACACCCGUGGCGAAGGCAGCUCGCUGGGACGUGACUGACGCUGAGACGCGAAAGCGUGGGGAGCAAACAGGG